rnacentral:rRNA from 1 species
UACGUAGGGUGCGAGCGUUGCCCGGAUUUAUUGGGCGUAAAGAGCGUGUAGGCGGCCAUGUAGGUCCGUUGUGAAAACUCGAGGCUCAACCUCGAGACGCCGAUGGAAACCAUGUGGCUAGAGUCCGGAAGAGGAGAGUGGAAUUCCUGGUGUAGCGGUGAAAUGCGCAGAUAUCAGGAGGAACACCGGUGGCGAAGGCGGGUCUCUGGGCCGUAACUGACGCUGAGGAGCGAAAGCGUGGGGAGCGAACAGG